rnacentral:rRNA from 1 species
CCACCGGGCCAUUCCAUCCUAAACGCAUCGGAUCGCUUCUGAUCUCGAAGCUAAGCAGGGUCGGGCGUGGUUAGUACUUGGAUGGGAGACCGCCUGGGAAUAUCGGGUGCUGUAGGC